UAUUAAAAAUUUCAUCUAUUUGUACUGUUAAAAAUUGACAUGCUUAACAUAAUAGUCAAACAGUGACACGUAGUGUGUUAUAUAUACAUCAUGUUAACGUACGAAGACUAAAUUUUAAUAAUAAAAAUAUAUGAAAUUUUUAACA
rfam:Gossypium hirsutum cultivar TM-1 unplaced genomic scaffold scaffold3179.1, whole genome shotgun sequence